rnacentral:lncRNA from 1 species
CUGAGCGCAGCCAGCUGGGCGCCUGAAUCCGUUGGGACGCCUACAACGCGCUCAGGCGCACGAGACCACAGCGGGUUUGACUACAAUGGCUGGGGAACGGCAAGCAUCAGCCCAGUCGCUUCACUUGCCAGUGUAUCCUCCUUCACACGUGAAGGCAAUAUGGCAGCAACAGCCUAUGAGCGCUAUCAAAAGGAUCCUGAUGGAGGAUGGAUCUGGGGCAAUAGCAUCAGUAUGAGCAAUGAAACCAAUGAUGCUCUCAGGGAUGUCGUGUGCGCCCGCAAGAGUACGGCAUUCGCCUACAGCAUGGAGGACCUGC